GUUUAUGCUACCAUUUUGCCCCUUUUGAUACUUCCUUGAAGUUGUUUUUGAAGUUUGGAUAAUUACUGUAUCACAACCUUGUGAGUUAUUGGAUAAAAAACAACCUAUUGUUUGUUGUUUUUCCUUGUUGGUAUCCCCUUUCGGGAUGGGGAGGGAAGUGCAACCAUGUGAGUAGCAUUGUAUUGGCAACCUUGUGAGUUGCGUUAUGUUGCUUUUCCUCGCCGGC
rnacentral:misc_RNA from 1 species